CCCAUACAUCACAGUAAAGAAAAAAAACAUGUUGAAACAUAUUAAGUAUAUUUUAAGGCAGCCAAAACAAACUAUUCAUAUGUCUGAAAACCUCAAAAGAAAAUAAAAAAAACCUCCUAUAUACAAAAUUAAAAUAAAAUACAGCACUAAGCGUAUAAACUCACGGGCCUGUUUGUGUAUAAACCACUUAAUUUAUCAUUUGAGCUCAAUAAAGCACCACACAACAGUUUGAAAUUAACUACAAAAGAGAAACCAUUUUAUUAUGAUAUACUAAAACACAUAACCCCUUCACAUCUGAAAAAUAAAUCUAUCUUAGCAGCAUUAUUAUUGGCUAUAAAUUAUUUGGAGCAUGGUUAAUGUAUAUUUAGGGGGGGCAUGGGUUGUUUUUUUCUUAUUCCCCUAAUGUUUUAGUAGAGAAUCAAUAAUGUAGAAAUAUAGAUUUACCCAAUAUGUCUGACAAAAUGAUCAUAUAUAACAGCAUUUCGAAGCACAAUAAAUAAUUAAAUCCAAUAAGGCCAGAAAAGUGCACAAGAAAAGAGAUGGCUAUGUAUAAAUUAUGUCCUAGAAAUCUGCUUUCUCUGUGAUAUAUCACUUUUUGAUAAUUUUUCAUCAAGGACAUAUAUCUUGAGAAAAAUGUCUGGUUUAAGAUUUCUUUAAUGCUUUUUUAAGUAUAUUUGGAAUAAUUUGUUUUGGUUUAAAUAUACUUUAACAUAAAGAUAGGUUGUCACUAUUCUAUUGAAAUGGUUUAUGUGUAGUUCCAAUGCAUACACAAAAUAAUACAAUAAUAAUCUCCAUUAUUUGAUUUUUAUUUAAGUCAAGUCAUGGCUGACCAUUGCACAAUAAAUCUUUCCAAACUAGGUUUCCUACAAUCUCUAGCCAGCCUAAAGGCUCAUUGUACAGGAAUCUCAAGGGGUGACCGAGCAGGAUUAAAUAAAGCAACCCAGGUCGGACAGUUCUAGACCUUUCGCCUAAUAAUGUAUAGUAUCAUUAUUAUGAUGGGCAACGUGCUACGAAAUUGUUGCUAUAUGGCGAUGUAUAAAACGAGUUGAGUGUAAAUCGAAUAACAUUAAAAUGAUUCAUCUCGUACAACCUUCCUCUGUCCUCCAAACAUGCACACCACAACCUGGACUGAUACCACUUUAUGAAAGAAUCUUUUCUUUGUAUUAUCACAGUACGACCUACUCAUUAUUCAUGCACACGUUCUCAGUAUAUUAUUCAUUCUAUUGCUCCUUGCAGUGUGAGGACAGUCUGGACCUAUCAUUGGACUUAGAAUAUGCUUUGGGGUUACAUGCAUUAUAGAAGCUUCAUUUUCUUAUUAUAGACUCCAUUAAUGCAGUUUUGUACGGUGCUGAGUGCAAAAUUGGAAUUAAUAAGGAAUGGGCAGGCAUACAUGUUUUUUGGAGUGUUUUCAUAAUACCAAAAAAAAUUAAAUUAUUAGGUGUGGCUCAUGAAGAGGAGACGGCAAAAUAAAAAGACUGCAGAUCAGGUUUGAGGUAUAAACUGCCCAGUCUCCUUUUCACUGGUGGGGAUAGCUUUAUGCAUUAAAAAGCUUCCAUUGACACAGAGUACAAAAGUACACACGUGCUUGUAUUACAUUAAAAAUAGGGCUCUCAUGCAAGAAUAGGAAAACAUUAUAACACUAAUUCACUAUAUUUAGCCGUUUCUGUGAGCUUUAUUGUUAUUCCAACACCGAUAUUUUACUUUCAGGUUUGUACGAUGGCUGUGAACUUAUUUCUUCUUCUUUUUUUUUUUUUUAAUGACCUCUAAUUUUGUAUUACAAAGUCAAAAUGACAAGCUAAUUGAAGGAGCGAUGCAAAUGUUUAAUCAUUCUGAGUUAAAGUUAAAUCAACUACAAAUCUAGAUAAUAUUUCAAGAAUAUAAUUAAUAGUUUCUAUUUGAGAGAGGUAUCCAGUCUUUUCACUGAUGUUGAUCUAAAUUUCCCAAAAAUCUCUUCCAAACAGUUGUAAAAUUAAAGGAGCACUUUAGCAUUAGGAAUUCAUACCUGUAUUUCUAAUGCUAUAGUGCCCUAUCUGCAGAAUUGCGUUUAGUUCCCCCAUUCCUGUUUUUACUUACCUUUACUCCAGCGCCGAGAAUCCAUCUGUGGUGCCAGCCACUCCGCCAAUUGCAAAGUCAUUCAUCUUUCGAGCCGAUGGCCACUCUAAUGUCCUUCAAAGAGGAUUAUUGGAAACUGAUGUACAUACACACAGAGCACCAUGCUUGCAUCCAAAUUCUUUGAGUUCCAUGUUUUCAUAUGAGUUGCAACCUUACGUUCUACUCAGUCACUGCCACAGAAGCACCUCUAGUGACUGUCUGGAAGAUAAAACGGCAAUGAUUGCACUGGUACAGAUGACUUUUGUGGGUCCUUUACAUUAUCAUGUGUUUGUUCAGUCUCUCCCUUGGUAACAAAAGGUUAGUUGUACCUAAUGGAAAGUAUAGUUUGU